rnacentral:misc_RNA from 1 species
AGUCCCAUAGACGCCAUCGC